rnacentral:lncRNA from 1 species
GGUGAUUUUUCAAAUUCAAGUCACUAUUGCUGCCUGAAUUCUGUUUCUUUGCAAAAUUUUACCAUUUUAUGACUUUCAUACCUAAUUUAUCACUUAGACUUUUAUAACAAUAAUUAACUUCAUCCUUGACCAUUUAAUCAACCAUUCAUCAUCAAAUACUUACACAUCAUUCUAUAGUAAAAUCAUAUUUACAAAUAUACAAAAUUACUAAAUUCCUAUACAUGCCAUAACUAAAAGAAAUGUUCACCACCACAAUUAGCUCAGAAUCGGCUUUGGAUGCUGAUUCAACAAUCCGACUUUGACCUAACCUGCGCACGGAAACAACCGUACGCUGAGUAUGGAAAUACUCAGUGGUAUUACCAUAAUUCGAAUUAAUAACAUUAAUCGAUAAAUUAUAUACAUUUUAUUUAUGUCUACAAUUAUUCAUUAAUUAUCUCAUGCAUUAAUUCAACUUGAUAAUUAAUAACAAUAAGCUAUAAUUCAAAUCUUGUAUUUAAUUGUAUUCAUACCUUAUUUCACUAUCUCAAUUCCAUUGGAUUUUUCUUUACAUCUCAUUCCAAUAGUUCAUUUCAAUUCAUAUACAAUUCAUUUCAUUUAAUUUAUAUUCAAUAUAAAUUUUAUUACAAUUUGUACUCACUAAUAUCAUAUAACAAAAUUUACUCUUUAUCACAUCAUGAACUUUGGGCUCAUAUCUUUAAAUCUCUUAUUUCGAUUUCCAAUUCACACAUCAAUUCACAACUUCACUUGUUUUCACACUUUAUUUCUUAACAAUAUACCAUUUUAAUUCAUUUUAACAUCAAUCAUCAUCCAUUUGAACUUCACUCAUUUCAUGAACCUUUUGGUUCAUGUUUUCAAUCUCAUAUCUCAAUUUAAUAUCUCAUUUAUUCAAUUCAUAUUUUAAUUCAUUCAAUUAAAUAUUGGUAUUCUCCUUAUUUUUAUUUACUAAACAUAUUAUUCAAAAUUCAACAAUUACUAUCAAUAAAUUCAAUAUCAAUACGUAUAUAUAUAUUUCAUUCGAUUCAAUCAUGAUACUCACCUCAAUUUUCUUAUCAUGUAUAUUAAUUUAAAUUUUAACAAUUAAUAAUUAAAUUCGAAUUAUAGUAAUACUAACCGUAAUUUCUCUCGAGUCACUCCUUGUCCACUUUCUCCUUUCCUUUCUCGGACAAUGACUCGUACACGACAUUAGCUACGUAAUUAAAUAAUUAAAAAUCAUUAAUACACAAUUUCAUUAAAAUAUUUCCUUUUAUACCUAAACUUUAUAAUUAUCCCUUACCAAUACUAAUUUUAUUUUUCCCAAUCUAACUCUAUAUUCUCUCUUAAUUCUUACUAUAAAGUCAAUUUAAUUCCUCAAUUUCACCAUAAAUCCCUAAUUUCGGGAUUCUUUCAAUUUAAUCCCUAUCGAUUCAAAACUUAUAUUUUAUUUUACAAUUCAAUCCUUUAUUCAAUUCCAAUCAAAAUUUCUAUCAAAUACAUCCCUAAUUUAACAAUUUAUUCAACAUGAACCAUGCUUAAUAAUCUACUAACUUUCAAAAUUUCAACUUAAAUCAAGUAGUAUUUUAUUCUAGGAUUUCAAAAAAAAAUAUCAAAAUUAAGAGAAAAGGGGAUUAAAUUGACUUACCAAAUUACUUUGAACCUUAAAACCCCAAAUUUCCCUUUUUCUUUUCUUUUCUUUCUUUCUUUCCUUCCUUCCUUCUCUGUUUCGUUUUGCUCUCUGUUUCUUUCUUUCUCCCUUCUCUGUUUUGUUUUGUUUUGCUCUCUGUUUCUUUUCUUUGUCAUAUAUAUAUAUAUAAUAUAAU